rnacentral:lncRNA from 1 species
CGUGAUCUAACAUAUAUAGAUAUUUGUUGAUAAAGUGACACAUUGGAUACCAUGUCAAUGUGCUUAAGUAUAUGAUAUCUUUGGAGAGUGUGAUAGGAUGCACAUGAUAGGAGCAGGUAAGGAUCAUCAAUUAACUGAACAAUGUGAUGGAUAUCUUAGUUCUUAUGGCCAUCAAUUAGGGGGUGUUUGGAUACACCCUGCUAAAGUUUAGCACCUGUCAUAUCGGAUGUUUGGAUGCUAAUUAGAAGUAUUAAACAUAGGCUAAUUAUAAAACUAAUUGCACAGAUGGACUCUAAUUUGCGAGACGAAUCUAUUAAGCCUAAUUAGUCCCUGAUUUGACAAUGUGGUGCUACAGUAACCAUUUGCUAAUGAUGGAUUAAUUAGGCUUAAUAGAUUCGUCUCGCGAAUUAGCACAGGGUUCUACAAUUAGUUUUAUAAUUAGCUCAUAUUUAAUCCUUCUAAUUAGCAUCUGAAUAUUCGAUGUGACACUGCUAAAGUGUAGCACCUAGUAUCCAAAC